AUUGAACGCUGGCGGCAGGCCUAACACAUGCAAGUCGGGCGAGUGGCGGACGGGUGAGUAAUGUAUGGGGAUCUGCCUGAUGGCGGGGGAUAACUACUGGAAACGGUAGCUAAUACCGCAUACCAUCAGAUGAACCCAUAUGGGAUUAGCUUGUAGGUGGGGUAACGGCUCACCUAGGCGACGAUCCCUAGCUGGUCUGAGAGGAUGAUCAGCCACACUGGGACUGAGACACGGCCCAGACUCCUACGGGAGGCAGCAGUGGGGAAUAUUGCACAAUGGGCGCAAGCCUGAUGCAGCCAUGCCGCGUGUAUGAAGAAGGCCUUCGGGUUGUAAAGUUCUUUCGGCAGCGAGGCGUUAACUACAGAAGAAGCACCGGCUAACUCCGUGCCAGCAGCCGCGGUAAUUC
rnacentral:rRNA from 1 species